ensembl:lncRNA PSORS1C3 psoriasis susceptibility 1 candidate 3
CAACCCACUCUCUGUGCUAUGACUUCAUUACUCUUUCCCAGCCCAGCCCUGGGCAAGCCCCUUACGAAGUCUCAGGCUACCUGGAUGACCACCCUUUCUUAUGAUGCUGCAAGGAGGGCAGGUGGGCAGAGCCCCGUGCAUCCUGGGCUCAGGCCAGGGACCCAAGAGCUUGGGAGAAGCUGGUUCUCAGACUGAAGGCCAGAGCCCAGCACCUUGUCACCAUCCCGGGGAGCAUCAUGGCACACAACAACCAGAGCCAAGGCUACAGCUAGAGAGUUGACUCCUCUAUUUGAGAUUGACAGGCCUCGGAAGUCAAAAUAAGUGGUUUCCUAGACCGGGUCGAGAGCAAGUCUCUAUUGGUCCCAACUGAGUUUUUUCAGCUGGUUUUUCAACCAAACAGCACCUCAUCUCCCAGUGAGGGGAAGGGAAGGCUGGGCUGAGAGCAGCAAGGCUGCUCAUCUCACCUCUCCCCACCCAGCCAUGCCAGCCGCCACACCUGGUGGGGAGAGGUGGGCCUCACCUGGGUCCCCUGGCAGUGCUCUGUGAAGGGUCUUGACAUUGCACUGUAAUAAUAAAGGUGUGUGUGAAGUAUC